rnacentral:rRNA from 1 species
CACGUAGGGUCCGAGCGUUGUCCGGAAUUACUGGGCGUAAAGCGCGCGCAGGCGGUUAGUCGCAUCGGCGGUGAAAGCCCCCCGCUUAACGGGGGAGGGUCCGUCGAGAUGGACUGACUGGAGGCAGGGAGAGGGCGGUGGAAUUCCGGGUGUAGUGGUGAAAUGCGUAGAGAUCCGGAGGAACACCAGUGGCGAAGGCGGCCGCCUGGACCUGACCUGACGCUGAGGAGCGAAAGCGUGGGGAGCGAACAGG